GAGAAGACAGAUACCUUUGUGGAUAUGAUGUUCCCAAUGUUAAUCCCUGUCUCAAUGCUCAUCGGGGCAUUCCUCAUUACUUCCUCUAUUGCAGCAGACAUUGUCGAGGAAAAGUUUUCUAAAAUGAGGGAAAUUCAGCGAAUGAUGGGUCUGACUGACACCAUAAUGUGGCUGAGUUGGAUUAUCCAGAGGUCUCUCAUUAUAAUCGCUUGUUCCGCCCUGAACGCCACAGUUCUGAUGUUUUGCGGAUACACGCCACUGAGUGACGAAACAGUGGUUUUUGUGUUUCUCCUGCUUUACUACACAGCUC